rnacentral:rRNA from 1 species
ACGGAAGGCAGCAGCGGGGAAUAUUGGGCAAUGGGGGAAACCCUGACCCAGCAACGCCGCGUGAAGGAAGAAGGCCUUCGGGUUGUAAACUUCUUUUACCAGGGACGAAUUUAUGACGGUACCUGGAGAAAAAGCAACGGCUAACUACGUGCCAGCAGCCGCGGUAAUACGUAGGUUGCAAGCGUUGUCCGGAUUUACUGGGUGUAAAGGGCGUGUAGGCGGAGCUGCAAGUCAGAUGUGAAAUCCCGGGGCUCAACCCCGGAACUGCAUUUGAAACUGUAGCCCUUGAGUAUCGGAGAGGCAAGCGGAAUUCCUAGUGUAGCGGUGAAAUGCGUAGAUAUUAGGAGGAACACCAGUGGCGAAGGCGGCUUGCUGGACGACAACUGACGCUGAGGCGCGAAAGCGUGGGGAGCAGACAGGAUUAGAUACCCUGGUA